rnacentral:rRNA from 1 species
UUCUCUUAGGAUGUUUCACAUGCAGUCGAACGGCAGCACUGGGUGCUUCGCAUCUGGUGGCGAGUGGCGAACGGGUGAGUAACAUAUCGGAACGUAUCCAAUAAUGGGGGAUAACUAAUCGAAAGGUUGGCUAAUACCGCAUACGCCCUACGGGGGAAAGCUAGGGACCUUCGGGCCUGGCGUUAAUGGAGCGGCCGAUAUCUGAUUAGCUAGUUGGUGGGGUAAAGGCCCACCAAGGCGACGAUCAGUAGCUGGUCUGAGAGGACGACCAGCCACACUGGAACUGAGACACGGUCCAGACUCCUACGGGAGGCAGCAGUGGGGAAUUUUGGACAAUGGGCGCAAGCCUGAUCCAGCCAUUCCGCGUGAGUGAAGAAGGCCUUCGGGUUGUAAAGCUCUUUCGCAAGGGAAGAAAACUUAGCCUCUAACAUAGGCUGAGGUUGACGGUACCUUGAUAAGAAGCACCGGCUAACUACGUGCCAGCAGCCGCGGUAAUACGUAGGGUGCGAGCGUUAAUCGGAAUUACUGGGCGUAAAGCGUGCGCAGGCGGUUUUGUAAGUCAGAUGUGAAAUCCCCGAGCUCAACUUGGGAACUGCGUUUGAAACUACAAGACUAGAAUAUGUCAGAGGGGGGGUAGAAUUCCACGUGUAGCAGUGAAAUGCGUAGAGAUGUGGAGGAAUACCAAUGGCGAAGGCAGCCCCCUGGGAUAAUAUUGACGCUCAUGCACGAAAGCGUGGGGAGCAAACAGGAUUAGAUACCCUGGUAGUCCACGCCCUAAACGAUGUCUACUAGUUGUUGAUGGAGUAAAAUCCAUGAGUAACGCAGCUAACGCGUGAAGUAGACCGCCUGGGGAGUACGGUCGCAAGAUU